rnacentral:misc_RNA from 1 species
GAUGAAGAACGCAGCGAAAUGCGAUAAGUAAUGUGAAUUGCAGAAUUCAGUGAAUCAUCGAAUCUUUGAACGCACAUUGCGCCCUCUGGUAUUCCGGAGGGCAUGCCUGUCCGAGCGUCAUUGCUGCCCUCCAGCCCGGCUGGUGUGUUGGGCCCCGUCCCCCUUCCCGGGGGGACGGGCCCGAAAGGCAGCGGCGGCACCGCGUCCGGUCCUCGAGCGUAUGGGGCUUUGUCACCCGCUCUUGUAGGCCCGGCCGGCGCCAGCCGACCCCCUCAAUCUAUUUUUCAGGUUGACCUCGGAUCAGGUAGGGAUACCCGCUGAACUUAAGCAUAUCAAUAAGCGGAGGA